rnacentral:rRNA from 1 species
AUUGAACGCUGGCGGCAGGCCUAACACAUGCAAGUCGAGCGGAGCGGCGGACGGGUGAGUAAUGUAUGGGGAUCUGCCCGAUAGAGGGGGAUAACUACUGGAAACGGGCGCUAAUACCGCAUACUAUCAGAUGAGCCUAGGUCGGAUUAGCUAGUUGGUGGGGUAAAGGCCUACCAAGGCGACGAUCCGUAACUGGUCUGAGAGGAUGAUCAGUCACACUGGAACUGAGACACGGUCCAGACUCCUACGGGAGGCAGCAGUGGGGAAUAUUGGACAAUGGGCGAAAGCCUGAUCCAGCCAUGCCGCGUUUGUGAAGACGGUCUUCGGAUUGUAAACUUCUUUAGACAGGGACGCGGUACCUGUAGAAUAAGCCACGGCUAACUACGUGCCAGCAGCCGCGGUAAUUC